ensembl:snoRNA
CUGCACUGGUCAGUGACUAGCUGGUCUUUCCCUGAUCUCCUGGUCUCAUUCCAGUGCAAGAGAAAUCCCUUCUAGCAGAAGGGCCAGGCUCUCUCUGUGGCCUGCCCCUUUCGAAAGCUGGGUACAAGC